UUUCUCCUUAGCAGCCAAAAAAAAUUGCUAAUGGGUUGGUUCUUUUGUUGUUGAGCAGAAGCAAGAAAGUUUCCCGGGGAAUGGAGCAGUGGAGGAGAGUGCAUUGGAUUUUUCUCAAUGUGUAUCUGCAACAAGAAUAAAGGUACAGCUCAAGUUCUAGUGCUAAUUGUUUUAUCAAAUUUUUUCAUUAUGUUAUAAGUAAAACUAUUAGCCCUUUGCAUGCACAGUUUUCACUGCGUUGAGCUAAAUUUGUUGAUCUAUGCAGAAAAAGACAAAAUUCCAGAAGCACUUUAGUUUCUUGGAGAGGUCUCUAGCUGGAAAACUUGCCUCAGAGGAACAAGGUGAAGAUCCAUUUGCCCUGAACACUUUGUUUUGUUACUGAGAAAAGACUGGUAGGAAAAUAUGCUAAGAAGCGUUUUGUUAAAUCUUGUGAUCAGGUAGUUUUGAUGAAGAAGGGAAAUGAGUUGGUUUGCUGUAGCCCAUGUCACUGUUGUUGCUGCAUUGCUGUGGAAAGAGAGACCAGAAGAAUGGAUGUCAAAGGAGAGAAGCUACUGAAUGUCUAGCAAAAGGAACUCGUUUUUCUUCUUUUUUUUUUUCCUCGAAAAUAUUGAAAAAGAAAAGCUCUUAUGUUGUAAUUUUACCUUUUUUUUUAAUCUGCUCGUAUGCUACUGCCUAUGCUAUUGGGAGCAACCUAAGAGAAUAUAGGAAACUGAAUAAGGUUUCUGUCCUCC
rnacentral:lncRNA from 1 species